CCUCCUUUCUGUGCCUUCACUACCCCUACCUGCCACAGGUCCGCAGGCAACAGCCAGAGAAAGCUGGUGAUCAGCAGUGAAGCCUGUUGGCAUCCUGAAAAGAUGCAGCAGUGUCAUGGAACUGUGACAGAAACAACUUGGUGAGCAGAUGAUCUUUCCGUGGCACAGAAUAAAGUAUCUGGAGGGAAGGGCUGGCACGGGCAGAGCACUCAUCUGAAGUGGUGUGGAAGUCAGAGGCAUGGAGAUCCAUGCUACGCUGCGGGUGUCAGGCUCCCAUAACAAUGUUUGCUGUUAAAUAUUCCAACCCUGUAGGGAAAGAGAAAAGCCCUGAUCUAAGACUGGUCAUGAGAUGUUCAGCUUUGUUUGUGUCACCAUUUUACUGGAAAGCCAAGGUGAAGCCCCGAAACCAUUGACCAACAGAGUGAUGAAUUGUAAGGUUCUUAUAACAUGUGUUUCCGUGACCACACAAAGGAGGAGUCAAUAUGGGAUCCCAGACCCCAGAGGAGAUUACCCCAAGAAAAGCCUUUGUGCUAAUUUCUGACCACCUGUGAAGGAAAUUCCAAGAGACAGUGGAAACAUCUCCUAUGUAGCUGCUGCUCACUGGAAAUCUAGUUCACUCGCAAAGUACUCUGAGGUUCUUGGCAAGAAAAAAGGAACUCUAUGAAAUCAAGUUGACUGGGUUCUCAACGCUGGAUAACCUUGGAAGUCCAUGUAGGAUCCUGAAUAACUACAAAGAGGUGAGCUGCCCUGCUGACCGGAGCACCACCUGGGUCUGACACUUGAGGAAAGAAAUACAUUUCCAUGAUGUUCACAUGAUAGAGAACAGAUGUACGUGAAACUGAGUGAAGCACCCACUGAGGACUUCCAGAAACAUUUGGGUGGGGGCAGAGAUGGCAAGUUAUACAGGGACCCAAAGACUUUCACAAAUCAAUGAGCGGAUAGAUUAGUCAACCUGUCAGCUGUUGUUCAAGUUGCCCUACCUAUACCUACAUGGUGAUGAGGUCUGAGGAAAUCUGGGCUACAUGUAUUGUAAAACAUUUAUACCCGGAGUAUAUAUUUAAUUAGGAGAGGUAGUAAAAAAUA